UACGAAGGGAGCAAGCGUUGUUCGGAAUUACUGGGCGUAAAGGGCGCGUAGGUGGAUAUAUGGGUUAGAUGUGAAAGACCUGGGCUUAACCUGGGAACUGCAUUUAAAACUAUGUAUCUAGAGUACUGGAGGGGAUAGUAGAAUUCCUAGUGUAGAGGUGAAAUUCGUAGAUAUUAGGAAGAAUACCGAAGGCGAAGGCAGCUAUCUGGACAGUAACUGACACUGAGGCGCGAAAGCGUGGGGAGCAAACAGG
rnacentral:rRNA from 1 species